AAUCGCGGUAACUGGGUCCGGGGCAUCGUGACGGAGGUCUUCAAGGGUGCCGAUGGACGCAUUCGGCAGGCGUUGGUGAGGACAAGCAGAGGAGAGCUGAAGCGGCCGGUGAGCAAACUGGCGGUGCUAGAAAUUCAGGAGCGUAAAACCGGUGCGAAGGAGGCUCCUCCCACCAGAAUUACGGGGCGGGGCAAUGUUCGCACCGCUGGGCAGUUGAUGAAAAAUACUAUGCCAGCAAGUGUAUCACGCGAGAUGAGAGAGAACGCAGAGAAGAACUCGGACGGCCGGAAAGCCGGACCGCGACGAAAACCCAUGUAAACCCUAGAAAUUGAAAAAGUUGGAUCGUCACAUUAGCCAUUACAAAGUGUAACGUGGUUGCGUAAAUUUAGCCGAAUUUACCAUCAUUUCUUUAACUUCCUGGUUCGAUCGGUUGAUCAGCUUAACCAGAUUUCAGCGCGUGUGGGAGUAAAAAGCCACGAAAGAGGGCAUAAAUUGUCACCAGAUUAACCAUAAUUAAAGCCACUUAGCGACCAGCGAAUUUAACCCGUGAGCAACAAGAGCAUUUGUGUGAGGAAAAGGUGAUAAAGGGCAAACUAUUCAUGUGAGUUGAAUUAUAUUUCCAUCUAAAUCAUGCGUAAUAAAAUCAAUAUUUUUUAGUUUUAAGCUACUACCAGAAAAGUUGCUGUAAAAAUUCAGUUUGUUCUGAGGUCCGAACAAGUUUCUUAUUUAAAAAU